UAUGAUAAAUAAGUGCUAAAAAUAUUUUUGCUUGCGCGCUUUGGACGCUCACAUGAAUUAUUUGUGCCCCAGGUGUGCCCCAGUACAGUAUUAGGUCUAGUGACGCCCCUGCUCCACGGGUUUGUUGACGCCAGUGUCUCAGGGAAGUCGACGGCAGCUUUAUGGACGGCCCAAGCUCAGCUUUUCUCCGACAUCCAUCAGCUGAUUGAAAACCAAGAAGAAUGUCUCCCUUAUCUGCAGGGGGACAGUUUCACUUUAGAGAAUCCACAGCCCUCACAUUUUAAAGAGGAAGAGGAGGGAGAGUGUCUUGUAGGGCAGGAGGAGGCUGAUCUCAGCAAGUUUCCACUGACUGUUGUCUCUGUGAAGACUGAAGAGCAUGAAGACAAACCACCUGAGUCCUCACAGCUUCAUCACAGUCCAAACGUCCAGCAGGUGUCAGCAGAGAGUCAUGAAGAGAUUUCCUUCAAGCAGCAGGAGUGGAGCUCUAGUGUGGGACAGAAGGAGCUACAGGCCCCGUCCUACAUUAAAGAAGAGCAGCUUCAUGAUGAAGAUGAAGCUCAGUCCUUACAGCUUCAUCACAGUCAAAGUGAGGAGAACAGGGGGGCGAAGCUUGUAAGUCAACACAUCACAGAAGCUGAUGGAGAGCAUUGUGAAGAUAUAAAGUCAGAACCAGACAGCAUCUUUGCGCCACUGUCAGACAUGGACCACAUGAUGUCAGACUCUUCUGAUCACAGUGACCACAUCCAAAAACCUUUGAAGAGUAAAAAGGACUCUAAAGGUGAUGUGAGACAUCACACUAACAACAAACACUUUGACUGCUCUGAAUGUGGGAAAUCAUUUAGACGGAAGAGUAAUUUUAGAGAACACAUGGGAAUACAUACUGGAGAGAAACCUUUUACUUGCUCGGUUUGUAAGAAGAGUUUUUCCAGAAAGGUUGACAUGAUCAAACACAUGAGAACACACACUGGAGAGAAACCUUUUGCUUGCUCAGCUUGUGCUAAACAAUUCAACACUAAGUAUGAAAUUAUGUUACACAUGAGAAUACAUACUGGAGAAAAACCUUUUACUUGCUCUGUUUGUAAGAAUAGUUUCUCCACAAAGGUUGGCAUGACCAGACACAUGAGAAUACAUACUGAAGAGAAACCUUUUACUUGCUCUGUUUGUAGAAAGAGUUUCUCUUUAAAGUAUCACAUGACCGCACACACGAGAACACAUACUGGAGAGAAACCUUGUACUUGCUCUGUUUGCAAUAAAAGUUUCUCCAGAAAACAACACAUGACCAGACACAUGAGAACACACACUGGAGAGAAACCUUUUCCUUGCUCUGUUUGUAGAAAGAGUUUCUCUUUAAAGUAUCACAUGACCAUACACAUGAGAACACAUACUGGAGAGAAACCUUGUACUUGCCCUGUUUGUAAGAAGAGUUUCUCCAGAAAGCUUGACAUGUCCACGCACAUGAGAACACAUACUGGGGAGAAACCUUUUACUUGCCCUGUUUGUAAAAAGAGUUUCUCCAGAAAGCGUAACAUGACCACACACAUGAGAACAUGUGUGUGAUAAAACAUUCAAGAUUAAGUAUCAGGUCAGUAAACACAAGUGUGUAACAGUCAUGGAAGCUGCAGGGAUUUAAAAACACUUAAACAGUGAUUGUGCUAAAUGUUCUCUAAAAACACAGCAUGUUUAAUAUGAAUGUAUAUUUGAUGUUGUAUGUAGUGCCUCUCAUCUUCUGCUGUUAUAUGUUGUCCUGGAGUUACUUUUUAAGUUGUGUGCAUACAUUUAAUGUUAUUUAUGUAGUUAUUAUUGUAUUUUAUUUUCUUAUUUGUUUUUUUUUCCACACAUUUUUAAAAAAUGUAUUGAUGUUAUUAUCCAAUUAAAAGUAUAAAUGAAUAAAAUUGUGGACUCUGGUAGAUUAACAGCACUGUUACAUCAUGGAUGUUAAAGGCCUACUGAAAGCCACUACUACCGACCACACAGUCUGAUAGUUUAUAUAUCAAUGAUGAAAUAUUAACAUUGCAACACAUGCCAAUAUGGCCUUUUUAGUUUACAAAGUUGCAAUUUUAAUUUUGUAUCCUGUUGAAAACGUCAGUAUGAUGACUCGUGCGCGUGACGUCUUGGAUUGUAGCGUACAUUUUUUUCCAGCACGAUCCGAGCUAUAAGUAGUCUGCUUUCAUUGCAUAAUUACACAGUAUUCUGGACAUCUGUGUUGCUAAAUUUUUUGCAAUUUGUUCAAUUAAUAAUGGAGACGUCAAAGAAGAAAGACGUAGGUGGGAAGCGGUGUAUUGCAGCUGCCUGUAGCAACACAAACACAGCCGGUGUUUCCUUGUUUACAUUCCCGAAGGUGAAGCUUUACUAUGGAACAGAGCGGUCAAGCGAACAUGGUUCCCGACCACAUGCUAGCCGGCAGGUUUCGGUGAGAAAAUUGUGGUAAUAAGUAGGCUCUUACCGUAGACAUGAGCGGAGCUUGCGUCCUUCCUCGUGCCCCUGUCAAAAAGGCAGCAGGGCGGCAUAGCUCGGUUGGUAGAGCGGCCGUGCCAACAACUUGAGGGUUGCAGGUUCGAUCCCUGCUUCCGCCAUCCUAGUCACUGCCGUUGUGUCCUUGGGCAAGAUACUUUACCCACCUGCUCCCAGUGCCACCCACACUGGUUUAAAUGUAACUUAGAUAUUGGGUUUCACUAUGUAAAGCGCUUUGAGUCACUAGAGAAAAAGCGCUAUAUAAAUGUAAUUCACUUCACUUCCCUCAGAGACACUGGCGGUCACCACACCCGUGGCCACACCCCUCCGACUUUCAGGUACGACCAAAUAAUCUCACUACAACACAAGUAACACAAUAAGCAGAUAAGGGAUUUUCCAGAAUUAUCCUAGUAAAUGUGUCUAAUAACAUCUGGAACGCUCCCACUAGCCUGUCUUUUUUUUUUUUUUCUAGUCCUUCACUCUGUUCUUCAUCCACGAAUCCUUCAUCCUCGCUCAAAUUAAUGGGGAAAUCGUCGCUUUCUCGGUCUGAAUCGCUCUCGCUGCUGGUGGCCAUGAUUGUAAACAAUGUGAGGAUGUGAGGAGCCCUACAACUAGUCAUGUCACGCGCACAUCGGCCGCUACUUCCGAUACAGGCAAGGCUUUUUUAUUAGCGACCAAAAGUUGCACAUUUUAUCAUCGAUGUUCUCUACUAAAUCCUUUCAGCAAAAAUAUGGCAAAAUGAUCAAGUAUGACACAUAGAAUGGACCUGCUAUCCCCGUUUGAAUAAGAAAAUCAUUUCAGUAGGCCUUUAAGAGUUUAUGUCAUACUCUGCCAGUGCAAUUGGUUUGCCAACCCCAGAGAUGCGAGGUCACCAUUUCCCGGGUCUUCUUCUCUAUCAUCCGAGUCCCCGAGACGAUGGAUGUUGGGUAACCAUAUCAUUAGGAUUACCGCAAUACCAAAAUUGCCAAAUAUACAUAAAGUACAAAGACAAGACAGAACACACUUAUGGCUUCCUGUUCCUUUUUUCUGGCAGAUCAACCUCAUUCUCUGCCUCAGAUUGCAGGUCUGAGGUGUUGCAGCCGUUUCGAUAUUGUUGGAUUAUUUUUAAUGCGUCUUUGUAGUUGUCUAAAAUUGAAUAUGUUAAAAUUGUUGCGAUCCGCUACACGGAUCACUACAUUUUCUUGUUUAUUGUUUCUUUUCUGUACUACACUUUGUAGUCUGACCUUUUUAUUUCCUGUUUGGUUUGUCACCAUGGUUGUUCAUUGAUUUCACCUGCUACUCACGGUCCCGCACACCUGCUACGGAUAAUCACCUUCCCUAUAUAAGCCUUCCUCUCUUGUUUGUUCAG